rnacentral:rRNA from 1 species
GAUUAACGCUGGCGGCGUGCAUAACACAUUCAAGUCGAACGAAGCAGCAAUGCUUAGUGGCGGACGGGUGAGUAACGCGUGAGCAAUCUACCUCCCAGUACGGAAUAACAACCGGAAACAGUUGCUAAUACCGUAUGAAAUAGCAGUACCGCAUGGUACAACUAUCAAAGAUAUAUUGCUGGGAGAUGAGCUUGCGUCCGAUUAGCUAGAUGGCGGGGUAACGGCCCACCAUGGCGACGAUCGGUAGCCGGACUGAGAGGUUGAACGGCCACAUUGGAACUGAGAUACGGUCCAGACUCCUACGGGAGGCAGCAGUGGGGAAUAUUGGGCAAUGGGCGAAAGCCUGACCCAGCGACGCCGCGUGAGGGAAGAAGAUCUUCGGAUUGUAAACCUUAGUCAACAGGGAAGAAGCAAGUGACGGUACCUGUGGAGGAAGCCACGGCUAACUACGUGCCAGCAGCCGCCGUAAUAC